GUGCCAGCAGCCGCGGUAAUACGUAGGGACCAAGCGUUGUUCGGAUUUACUGGGCGUAAAGGGCGCGUAGGCGGCAUAUUAAGUCAGCUGUGAAAUCUCCGAGCUUAACUCGGAACUGUCAGCUGAUACUGAUGUGCUAGAGUGCAGAAGGGGCAAUCGGAAUUCUUGGUGUAGCGGUGAAAUGCGUAGAUAUCAAGAGGAACACCUGAGGUGAAGACGGGUUGCUGGGCUGACACUGACGCUGAGUGCGCGAAAGCCAGGGGAGCAAACGGGAUUAGAAACCCUCGUAGUCC
rnacentral:rRNA from 1 species